rnacentral:misc_RNA from 1 species
UUUCCGUAGGUGAACCUGCGGAAGGAUCAUUAACGAGUAAAGUCCUUUGGGACUUUCUUAUCCAACACACCUGUGAAAAUUAAUGUUUUGCUUUGGGAAUUUAAUUAUUCCCAACAAUCAAAACCACUAAGUUGUCUCUUGUCUGAAUGAUUAUUUAAAAAAUCAAAACUUUCAACAACGGAUCUCCUGGUUCUC